AUUCGCCGCCGAUGUAGAUUUCACACUCAAAAUCCGGAUCCUGGUGGCAAGAUCCUUAAGGACUUGUGCAUCUGUAACCAAAGGCAUUUUGCUUCACUAAAGACUGAUUCCACCUAUACUGCCAAACACCACAUAAAGACUGAACAACGGCGACGCGGCUCUUUAUAUACUCGGCUGACCAUAGUUCCGGAAGAAUCCCUGAACCUCCACGUGUCUCCAAAAACGUCAUGCGGUGUGUCUGUUUAUGUCACCGCUAUAAUUCCAGAAUGAAUAGCUGGUAUUCGCGAGGGUGCCACUAUUGUCACAAUACGCUUGGAAAAAUAAGCAAAAAAAAAGCUGAACGUGGUGGAAAAACCACCAAAUCCGCACAAGCCGGCUGUGAACGAUUUGCAUGACAAGAAUUUCCCAGACAAUACUCCCAGAGAAAAAAAAAUUCAAAUAUUUGCCAAGGAUUGUUCCUAUUUAAUUUAAUAUUUAUUUUAUUUUUGCAAUUAAUAUACUAUUUUAAAUAUAUUAUUCUUCAGUUUUAGGCUGCUCCUACAUUGGAAGUGGAAUUUCUUUAGACUUGACGGUCUGAGCGGGUCUGAAUGGGUCUGACCGAGUCUGACGAAAAGAAACACACAUGCGCCGUAUUCCCUCCUACACUAGAGCCAGUUGUCGUGCCGGGAAGAAGCGACGGGUCUAAACUGGUCUGACAACAACCAAAAUAGUUUGUUUUUCUCCCAGUUGGUUCGUGUUUAAUGUUCCCAUUUGGCUCGUGUUUAUAAAUCAUAAUAAUUGUUGUUAUGAUGGUAGACAAAGGAAACUUGAUUGAGUUAGUACGUAAGAGAGUGGCUUGUGGGACCAGAGGGACAAAAAUUACCACAACCUCGAUUUAAGGGGAAAGCUGUGGGAUGAAGUUGUUAGAGAGCUUGGAAUUAAAGGAGAUAUGGCCCGCAAGAGUUAGGAGUUGCUGAGAGAUAUGUUACGCAAGAAAAUUAAGGAAAACUGUUGUGCGUCAAGUGCUGCUGCCAAGUCCAAGUGGGUUUAUUUUGAUUCAUUGAGCUUCUUGCUUCCUAUGAUGAAGCCAAGAGCUACUUCAGAAAAUCUUCCUGCGUCUCAAGUAGCAAAUACACUGAUGGACAUGGAAUUAGGUGAAAUUGAUGAAACUCAGAAAUCAGGCGAAACUCCUCGAUCACAACAUGACUUUGACGUCCACACUGAAGAUAAAAAUGUUGAUGAGCCUGAGGAACUUACACAAGUAAACAAAGCUCCACAACCUACUACCACCUCCUCGACAGAAGAGAGUAAGCCCCGGACCAAGGAGAAAGCAAAGCCAAAAUAUUCAAAACGAGACACUAAAGUUAGAAAGAAGAAAAGUGCAAUUGCUGGAAUCUCGUUUUUCGGUAUCACAACCCACUACUUCAGCAGACGAGGAUGACGACAUAUCAUUUUUCAAAAGUUUACUUCGUUUGCUCAAACAAUUACCACUCCUAAAACGAAUGAAAUUACGAUCAAAUAUUUUGAAUUGUGUCAUCGCUGAGCUUGAAUCACUAGAACCAAGCAACACACCAUGGACAUUGCCAUUGACAGUUUUACCUCACCCUCCACGAAAUUACACAGGAUACUACCCCAAUCAAUAGUAUGCAUCCAGUCCUUCGGAUACAUCAAGCUCUAUUCUUUCUCCAUGCCAACCAGAAAAUUCCGAACAAGCAGAAUCUCAAAAUAUCUCAAUUACCUUGCGAAACUUAAUUUAAUUUUUUUACAAUUUAAUUUGUUGAAAUAAAUAUGUUCUAACUUA